rnacentral:rRNA from 1 species
CCUACGGGAGGCAGCAGUGGGGAAUAUUGGGCAAUGGGCGCAAGCCUGACCCAGCAACGCCGCGUGAAGGAAGAAGGCUUUCGGGUUGUAAACUUCUUUUCUCAGGGACGAAGCAAGUGACGGUACCUGAGGAAUAAGACACGGCUAACUACGUGCCAGCAGCCGCGGUAAGACGUAGGCGGCAAGCGUUAUCCGGAUUUACUGGGUGUAAAGGGCGUGUAGGCGGGACUGCAAGUCAGAUGUGAAAACCACGGGGUCAACCUGUGGCCUGCAUUUGAAACUGUAGUUCUUGAGUACUGGAGAGGCAGACGGAAUUCCUGGUGUAGCGGUGAAAUGCGUAGAUAUUAGGAGGAACACCAGUGGCGAAGGCGGUCUGCUGGACAGCAACUGACGCUGAGGCGCGAAAGCGUGGGGAGCAAACAGGAUUAGAUACCCCUGUAGUC